GACGAACGCUGGCGGCGUGCCUAAUACAUGCAAGUCGAGCGGACGUUUUGUUGGUGCUUGCACCGACUUAACGUUAGCGGCGGACGGGUGAGUAACACGUGGGCAACCUGCCCUGUAGUCUGGGAUAACUCCGGGAAACCGGGGCUAAUACCGGAUGAUACCUUUUAACCCAUGUUAGAAGGUUGAAAGAUGGUUUACGCUAUCGCUACAGGAUGGGCCCGCGGCGCAUUAGCUAGUUGGUGAGGUAACGGCUCACCAAGGCGACGAUGCGUAGCAGACCUGAGAGGGUGAUCGGCCACACUGGGACUGAGACACGGCCCAGACUCCUACGGGAGGCAGCAGUAGGGAAUCUUCCACAAUGGGCGAAAGCCUGAUGGAGCAACGCCGCGUGAGUGAAGAAGGAUUUCGGUUCGUAAAACUCUGUUGUAAGGGAAGAACAAGUACAGUAGUAACUGGCUGUACCUUGACGGUACCUUAUUAGAAAGCCACGGCUAACUACGUGCCAGCCGCCGCGGUAAAAC
rnacentral:rRNA from 1 species